rnacentral:rRNA from 1 species
UACGGAGGGAGCUAGCGUUGUUCGGAAUUACUGGGCGUAAAGCGUGCGCAGGCGGCUUCCUAAGUCAGAUGUGAAAUCCCCGGGCUUAACCUGGGAACUGCGUUUGAAACUGGGAGGCUGGAGUGCGGCAGAGGGGGGUGGAAUUCCACGUGUAGCAGUGAAAUGCGUAGAUAUGUGGAGGAACACCGAUGGCGAAGGCAGCCCCCUGGGCCUGCACUGACGCUCAUGCACGAAAGCGUGGGGAGCAAACAGG